rnacentral:tRNA from 1 species
GGCUUCGUAGCUCAGCUGGCAGGGCGUGCGCGUACAGAGCGUAAGCGGCGUCCAUGAAUGGGUUCGAAUCCAACCGAGGCCA